rnacentral:snRNA from 1 species
AUCAUUUCUCAGCCUUUUGGCUAAGAUCAUGUAUAGUAUCUGUUCUUAUCAGUUUAAUAUCUGAUAUGUUCCUCAUUUGUAUUAAAUGGAUUUUUGGGCUCAGGUUUUCUUUUUUGUUUGUUUGUUCAUUUUUGGAUGAGAGAAUUGAGUGCACCCUCAGUAACUUCACAGAUGACACCAACCUGUGGGAAGUGUCAAUCUGCC